rnacentral:rRNA from 1 species
UACGUAGGGGCGUAGCGUUGUCCGGAAUCAUUGGGCGUAAAGAGCGUGUAGGCGGUCCGGUAAGUCCGCUGUGAAAGUCGGGGGCUCAACCCUCGAAUGCCGGUGGAUACUGUCGGGCUAGAGUGCGGAAGAGGCGAGUGGAAGUUCCUGGUGUAGCGGUGAAAUGCGCAGAUAUCAGGAGGAACACCUAGUUGCGAAGGCAGCUCGCUGGGACGUUACUGACGCUGGAGACGCGAAAGCGUGGGGAGCAAACAGG